rnacentral:rRNA from 1 species
GAUGAACGCUGGCGGCGUGCCUAAUACAUGCAAGUCGAGCGAACGGACGAGAAGCUUGCUUCUCUGAUGUUAGCGGCGGACGGGUGAGUAACACGUGGAUAACCUACCUAUAAGACUGGGAUAACUUCGGGAAGCCGGAGCUAAUACCGGAUGAUAUUUUGAACCGCAUGGUUCAAAAGUGAAAGACGGUCUUGCUGUCACUUAUAGAUGGAUCCGCGCUGCAUUAGCUAGUUGGUAAGGUAACGGCUUACCAAGGCAACGAUGCAUAGCCGACCUGAGAGGGUGAUCGGCCACACUGGAACUGAGACACGGUCCAGACUCCUACGGGAGGCAGCAGUAGGGAAUCUUCCGCAAUGGGCGAAAGCCUGACGGAGCAACGCCGCGUGAGUGAUGAAGGUCUUCGGAUCGUAAAACUCCGUUAUUAGGGAAGAACAUAUGUGUAAGUAACUGUGCACAUCUUGACGGUACCUAAUCAGAAAGCCACGGCUAACUACGUG